CUCCAAAUGCAUGAUAUGCUGCUAGAAUCAGAAGCCAGCUCUAACCUUAUGCUGUAACUCAGCUUGCUUCAAAUUUCAGAUAGGAUGAUAGAGGUCAUGACUAGAAGAACUAGCACGUUCACGCAUGAGAAGGGCUAUACUAGGGUACAUUCACUUGCUCUUGGAGUGACCCAGUACAGAGGGGAAAAGGACACCGCUGGAAAGGACACUAGCGGCAGGAGCAAUGUGAUUGGGAAGUGAUGGGACAAAGCCCAAGUGGAGAGGAGAAGCAGGGGUCUCUCUUCCCCUGUGGCCAGAGGGAAGGAGGCAACAUCAGCUGAGAGUGAGAAGGAGCAGCUGUGGGUGGAGGAGUUGGUGGAGACAGCGGUUGAUGUGGAAG